GUAGGUGAACCUGCGGAAGGAUCAUUACCAAAUUACUUGAGCGUAGUGGAUAUUGUUCCCUGUUGGGAGCAAGAAUUAAUGGGGGCUCUGGUUUAACUGUAUAGUUACCGGAGCCUCUGUGUGAACAAUUGUUUCUAGUAACAAUGAAAACAAACACAACUUUUAACAAUGGAUCUCUAGGCUCUUGCAUCGAUGAAGAACGCAGCAUCUGACUGACUUCAGGUUG
rnacentral:misc_RNA from 1 species